AUGCAUAGCUGGAGCCCUGAGCUGGAUAUCAUUUAUUUGACACAUCUUAGACAGUUUACUUGUAUUUAUAAGCAGUGGCGUGGCACUCAUUUUGUUUUUACGGUAUUGAAAAUCAUACCGUCGGUAUGUCUAUAUACCCCGGUAUAUACGGUAUAUCGCCACAAGCCUAGCUACCAUACAGAAUCCCCUGGUUAUAACUACGGCCACUACACAUCCCCUGGUUAUUACUGCUACUACUGCACAUCCCCUGGUUAUUAUUUACACAUCCCCUGGUUAUUACCACUGCCUUUACACAUCCCCUGGAUAUUACUACUCCCUUUAAACGUCCCUUGGUUAUUACUACUGCUUUUACACAUCCCCUGGUUAUUACUACUGCGUUUACACAUUCCCUGGUUAUUACUACUGCCUUUAUACAUCACUCAGUUAUUACUAUUGCUUUUACACAUCCCCUGGUUAUUACUACUGCCUGUACACAUCCCCUGGUUAUUACCACUGCCUGUACACAUCUCCCGGUUAUUACUACUGCCUUUACACAUCACCUGGUUAUUACUACUGCCUUUACACAUCCCCUGGUUGUACAUAAACCUUUCUUUGAUUCUUCUUUCAUGUUAUAACUUUAUUAAUUAUGUCUGUUCAACUACUCAUCUCCUAAAAGCGCAUGUUGUUGUGUAUAACCGAUCUAAAGUCCCAUUGAGCUUCAAUGUUUAAUAUCAUAUAUUUUAAUCAAUGGUUUCUAAUGCUAGGAGGCAAUUGCUAGGAGGAAAAUCCUCAGUGGUAUGGAUGUUUUCAUAAUUCUUAGUCAAUCGUUAUCUCGGGCUAAACAUGCUUUGACAGCAGUGGUAUACAUUGUCAACGUGAUGUUGCAUUGUUAAGUACUGAAAUGUUCAUGUGACGUUGAAUCCUGUUGAAAGGUAUGUUCUGAAGGUGACAAAGUCACCUUGAUGCGGGAAAAUGCCUCAACAACAAUGAAUAAUCAUGUGACAUUCAAAGCUUUCUAGGAAAAAUGUCUUGGCUCACAAUUAAGUGUCCUUUUUCCAAUGCAACUUGGAAUUGGAAAAGUAAUUGUCACAUGUGCUCCCUCUCCGGCCUCUAGGUCACUAGGCUGCUCAUUAUGGCGCACACCUGUCACCAUCAUUACACACACCUGUGCGUCAACAGACUCACCUGGUCUCCAUCACUUCCCUGAUUACCUUCCCUAUAUAUGUCACUCCCUUUGGUUCCUUCCCCAGGCGUUAUUGUUUCUGUGUCAUGUCUGUGUGCUGUUAAUGUUUCUUGUUUUGUAUUAUCUUACGUUUAUUUUAUUUAAAAACACUCACUCCCUGAACUUGCUUCCCGACUCUCAGCGCACAUCGUUACAGUCAUUCAUAGCCAGGUGAACUUUUAAGUCAGACAGGACUGUCAGCUGUUCAGUUACUGUGGUUAUAACUGCUAUAUGACUGACAAUAAAACUCACCUCACAAAUGUCUCCAUUGUGUCUCCAUGUCACAUGUUCCGCCACACCCUCGUGAAGUGAACGCAGGGGUAAAGCCAUGAGGCAGACCGAACAACUCCCUUGGCUAAGACAGUAUUUAAUAAUAUAAAAGGGGUGUGUCCUGAAGGAUUUGACUCGGAUUGACUGAAAGUGAAAAUUCAAGCAAUGCCAAAACAGAAAACCUCCCCCUUAAAAUUCACAUUGCUUCAUAAUCUACCCACUCCCUUUCUACCAGACAGUCGCAUGAUUGCUAGCCACCCUGGAGCCUUGAGCAUGGUACCCAUUGGUACCACAGUCUCUGCUACAGAGACCCAUCCAGGUUAAAGCGCACAGUCAUAGGCUCUAAUCCUCCCACUGUUCCGCAGCAGACCACUGUCUGAAGAGAGCACACUUCACACUGGGCUCCAGAAACAAGACAUUAACUUCUGACCAUGAAUAUCUAUGAAUAUCCAUCCAUAACUAGAGAAUAGCUGUAAGUUUAAGCAAUAUUGCCUUGUGCCUUGUAAUUCCAUUACCAAAAACACACAUAUCUUGAAGAUAUUUUAUAAUUUGUAUCCCUCAUGAGGAGGGAGGAUAAUGAAAGUUCACAGAAGUAACAAGUAACGGUAGACCUACCAAUUAGUUAUAGUGAUUUAUUUUUAUGAUAUCCAUUUUGUUUAUGAAAUAUGAAGUGAUUAAAAGUCGUAAUUCCAUUACCAAAUUGUUAACGGAAUUAUCAAAACAUUUGUAAUGCAAUUACUGCAACUGAAUUGGCUACAAGAGGAAAUCAUAGUGGUCACAAACGACAGAUAUUUAACAAGAGUUUUUGGAAAAUGAGUUCGAAUAAAAACAAAGUUUACAUAUGCACAGUUCUUCCACUAAAUGAGCUUUUGUACAUUUUUUUCAGUCUAAAUUGUUAAAUGUAGUCCUUGUGCAUAGUUGUGUGGUUUGUUAAACUUGGUUUUUGUUUGGCAUACAUUUUAAACAGUCAAAGCAUCAUUCCAUUACUGUGGAAUUGCCCAUCUUCUUUUUUUUCCUUCUUUUAACUAGGUAAGUCAUUUAAGAACAAAUUUGUAUUCACAAUGACGGCCUACCCCGGCCAAACCCUAACCCAGACGAAGCUGGGCCAAUUGUGCACCGCCCUAUGGGACUCCCAAUCACGGCCGGUUGUGAUACAGCCUGGAUUUGAACCAGGGUGUCUGUAGUGAAGUCUCUAGCACUGAGAUGCAGUGCCUUAGACCGCUGCUCCACUUGGGAGCCCUAAUAAUCAUGUGAAGUCGAUGGUUCAAUUGAUACAAACAACCUCCUGAUUUAGGCUCUUGGAAAAAUGACACCCGUUUCCCAUGGAGAGGAGCUCAGCAUUAACGAAAAUAACGUCAUUAACCAGUAGCCCCUACCACCUCAAGAUCAAAUAGGACUGUCUGAAAUUGCCAUGCACAUCCUGGUUGUAUGAGCAAAUCUUCUGUUACCUCUAUUUAAAUGCUUUAAGUCAAAUUAUGUACCAUUUCGAUAUUCUGUAUUAUUGCAAUAUUCACUGUAAAUAACACGGCCUUGGUACAAUAGAAUAAAACAUGUUUUUGUUUAUUUUUAUUUAACAUUUAUUAAACUAGUUAUAUUCUACAUUGUUACAUCAUUCACCAGAUAGUGCCCGCUUUUAAUGCUGACACACAGGCUUCAGCACCAUGGUGUUAAUGUAGAAAAGAGGCCAUCAUUGGGGCUGAUCUAUUCCUUGGUCAGAAACCAUAAAUAAUUCACUGUCCCCACUGACACCAACAGCUGAUGACGAGGUUAACAACCGAGCAAACAUUCCCCUUCCUUCAUUUAUACAUUGCACACGUAUGGCAAAUUUAUUACGUGUUAACCCUCCUUUACAUUUUAUGACAUAGGCUAUUAUUUUAUCUACUCAAGUCACUGGAAAAUAAUGCGAAACAUUACGCAAUCUAAAAACAGAAACUUACUGGCCACAUUACGUUCUCUCACCUUCAACAACACAGCGGGUGAUAUGUGCUACCUUUAAUUAGUUGGAAUGUGUUAGGCUAGGCUAUAUUUUCAUACACUUAUGCUAUAGGUGGACUGUAUGAAAUGUGUGAGAAUACAUUUGAAAAAUGUAAAACAAGCAUGUUUGAUGAGAGAAUAGAAUUUGCGGGAGCCGAGACCAUAGAGAUGGCCGAGACCGAAACUCGUCUUCUUACCUGUGUGAAGGGCUUUUUCCCGGAAGUAAUAAAACAAAGACGGUCGUGAAAUCGUGUUAUGACUAAAGUAGCCUAUAGCCUCGAGAAACUCCGAUAAUAAAGCUAGAAACGAUUACAAUAAUCCUAUACGUUAUAUUUCUGAGUGAAUAGUACAGAUCAUUCUUCACAGGGCGCCGCCUCAGGUGUUGUUGGUUGUACAGGCCAGAGAUGGAAAAGUCAGCGAGACAUCCCACUCCCUCAUGUUUUAUGUUUCAAUGGAAGUCAAUGAACCAAGAAGUCCAGACCCAGCUGCUAUCGCAUUGGUGUCUAUGGGAGAACCACCCCCUUAAGUAGACAGGAACUGACAUUUUUUUCAAUGGUAAAUAGCCAGAGUGAACUACCUUUAUUCAUCUUCCAUCUUUGCUCCAGGCAAUAUUCCUAGUUUCGAACAACAAACAAGUAGGAUCUGACGUAAAAGUGAUAUUCAAAUUAGCCAGGUUACUUUUAAAUGUUUUGUUCACUUUCCAAUGAAUCUUUCUCAGUAUCACGUGGAUUGCGAUAAACCAUUGCCAUAAACCACUCACUGCAUAGGUAUCCUUUAUCUUUAAUUAUUGAACACCAAAUCAAAUUGUAUUUGUCACAUGCUGAAUACAAGUGUUGUAGACUUUACGACGAAAUGAUUGCUUACGAGCCCUUCCUGACGAUGCACAGGAUACAAGUCACUAUACCACAAAGUUGGGUUGGAAGGACCUGCAUGAACAAUGGCAGUCCCUUGUUCAGAUUCAGUUUUGACAUAGUAGCAGCCUAUACUGUAGCCUAGGAAUUAAUAAAAACCAUUUAGGGAAAUGUAGAUUUGAAUUAGCUAAAUAAACACUAUGUGGAAGACCAUUUUAUGCUUAAGGGUCAAUCAGCAGUUCCUACAUUCAUUGUUUGACUUAUAAAUUAAUGAUAUGUACACAUUGAUUCUUGAAGAAUAUAAUUUUGAAAUUUCUCAUGAGCUUAGUUCGAGUGCCGCACCCCAUCAGAACCCAAAUAUAAGCUUAUUUUACUCAAAUGUUUAUAAACAAAUGUAAGGUAAACAAACACUGUAUAACCUCAAAAUAUGGUUAAAACUCUCCUUUUGAUAUCAUGGAUGGUCAGACCUUCCAUCCAUAGCUCUGUCUAUGAGUUGGAGAGUGGUUACAUUGCUCCAGCCCCAUCCCUUAGCUUUUUAC
rnacentral:lncRNA from 13 species